rnacentral:tRNA from 1 species
GGAAGGGUGGCCGAGUUGGUUAUGGCGCCAGGUUAAGGUCAGCUUAACAUCUGUUUCCUCGUGGGGCAACCCGCGCGAGUUCGAGUCUCGUCCCUUUCA